ensembl:snRNA LOC120096750 U6 spliceosomal RNA
GCACUCACUUCGGGAGCACAUAUAAUAAAUUUGGGACAAUAUAAAGAAGAUUAGCUUGAACCCUGCUCAAGAAUGGCAUGCAAACUCAUGAAAAAAUUCUCAUUUUU